rnacentral:rRNA from 1 species
UACGUAGGGGGGCUAGCGUUGUCCGGAUUUAUUGGGCGUAAAGAGCGUGUAGGCGGCCAGAUAGGUCUGCUGUGAAAACUCGAGGCUCAACCUCGAGAUGUCGGCGGAAACCAUUUGGCUAGAGUCCGGAAGAGGAAAGUGGAAUUCCUGGUGUAGCGGUGAAAUGCGCAGAUAUCAGGAAGAACACCCGUGGCGAAGGCGGCUCUCUGGGACGGUACUGACGCUGAGACGCGAAAGCGUGGGGAGCGAACAGG